UACGUAGGGUGCAAGCGUUAUUCGGAAUUACUGGGCGUAAAGCGUGCGUAGGCGGUGACUUAAGUCUGUUGUGAAAUCCCCGGGCUCAACCUGGGAAUGGCAAUGGAUACUGGGUCGCUAGAGUGUGAUAGAGGAUGGUGGAAUUCCCGGUGUAGCGGUGAAAUGCGUAGAGAUCGGGAGGAACAUCAGUGGCGAAGGCGGCCAUCUGGAUCAACACUGACGCUGAGGCACGAAAGCGUGGGGAGCAAACAGG
rnacentral:rRNA from 1 species